CCUACGGGAGGCAGCAGUAGGGAAUUUUUCACAAUGGGCGAAAGCCUGAUGGAGCAAUGCCGCGUGAAUGAUGAAGGUCUUAUAGAUUGUAAAAUUCUUUUAUUUGGGAAGAAAAACUAAAGUAGGUAAUGACUUUAGUCUGACUGUACCAUUUGAAUAAGUCUCGGCUAACUAUGUGCCAGCAGCCGCGGUAAUACAUAGGAUGCAAGCGUUAUCCGGAUUUACGGGGCGAAAAACGAGCGCAGGCGGGUUAACAAGUUUGGUAUGAAUGGCUUUUGCUUAACGAAAGUUUGUAUCAAAAACUGGUAAGCUAGAGUGUAGUAGAGAGGGCUGGAAUUCCAGGUGGAGCGGUGGAAUGCGUAGAUAUAUGGAAGAACACCAGUGGCGAAGGCGAGAACUUAGGCUAUCACUGACGCUUAGGCUCGAAAGUGUGGGGAGCAAAUAGGAUUAGAUACCCUGGUAGUC
rnacentral:rRNA from 1 species